GAGAAAAUGCAGUCUCACCUGCUAUCCCUAAGGAAGGUGUUGGCAGAGUUUCUAGACUGGAGAGUGAAGGCAGUUUCUAGACUGGAGAGUGAGCAAAGAGAAGCAUCAUCGGGACUACCUGGAGACGAGCAAGGCUGAGCGGCUCCGCAUCGAGGCCAAGUUCGAGUGGCUGUGCCACUGGAACAGAAGCAUGUGGUCCUGGGGUGGCUGGUGGAGCUGAAUGACUCCUUCACAGCUGCCCAGGCCAAAAAAUCAUCGCAGGUGGCUGAGGGGAUCACACAGCUCCAUGGGCUCAUGGGGCAGCUGGAAGCCAAGCGCUUGUCCCAGGAUGUUGGGAGCAUAGUAAGCAGGUAUGUAGAAACUGGUCACUUCCCCCCCUUGUCACCCCACCUGUGGAGAGGCAUUCAAAUAUCCCUCGCACAGCAUCCCUCUCUGUCAUUUAUCUUCCCAGCUGUAGUGAAAUAAGGCUUCACUUCCCCUCUGGGCUCCCCAUGGAGCUUGAGAAGAGCCUGAGCUCCUGCUGCUGCCAGCGGAAUGAACUGCGAGAGGACCUGGAGGAGUUCAGAGCCCUUCCGGCGACACCUGAUCGCCGUCCCGCGAUGCAGGUCUUUCAGCGACACGACGCGACAAGUCACUCCCUGGCGCGGCUUUCAGAGACUCGCGGGAGGCAGCACACCUCAGCGCAGCCCCGCCACCACCGGCUGCCAGCCUGCUCCAGGGUGGCUUUCCUGCGGCAGCGGUGGGCUGGGCUUCCAUCCACCAAGAAAAAAACAAACCCAGCUACAACGCUACAAAUUGCCCCAGGAAGUGAAGUGGUUGGAGUGCACGUGGGCACCGAGGCGCUGCGGCUCCAAGAGCUGUUUUAUUACCCCUUCCCCGCACCCGCCAAGAAACCUUAAGUAAGAUAAAAGUAUGUUGCUGAGAACACAGCUGCGCUGGGCAGGGCACGUCUCCAGGAUGAAGGACCACUGCCUCCCUAAGAUCCUGCUCUAUGGUGAACUUGCCACCGGCUGCCGCAAGAAAGGAACCCCGAAGAAAAGAUACAAGGACUCCCUGAAACAACAUCUCAGCCUUGGCCAUAUUGAUCACCAUAACUGGUCUACUCUGGCCUCAAAUCGGGAGGCCUGGAGACACACCAUCUGUCUCCUUUGAGAACACACGCAGGAUCACUCUCGAGGAGAAAAGGCAAUGCAGAAAGAACCGUGUCUUGCAGAAUACACCGUCUAAGGAGUCUUUCUGCUGUGCCUUUUGCAAUCGGACAUGUCUGUCUCGUAUUGGCCUCAUAAGCCACCAACGUGCCUGUAACAAAUGUGGAUAGAGCCUUCCCGAAUCUUCAUUCGUGAAGCCCAGCCAUGAUGAUGAUUAUUCUAUAGAAAGGAAACUUUCAGCUCCAAGACCCUCCUUUGGUUCAGUUUCCGAUUAAUUUUAUUGCAAAACUUCAUUAACAUUACUCCCUCCUGGAAUUUCUGCUCUAACACCAUCUCCCCCCACAGAUCCUGAAUAUAGUAGUUUUUUUCUUCCCCCCCCUUUGUUUCUUAUUUUUGCCAUCCAAUUUGGGUGCUGACGGACAAGGCUGGGUUUUUAUUUCACCCUAACAUCGCCCCCGCCCCUCGUUCCCCAGCUGAUAUCCACAUGAGCUCCAUGGACCUCUGCUCACUUGCCACAUUCCUAUUUUAAUCCCUGUUUCCUACAGCCACCCUCUGGCCGCAUUUUGCUUCCCCCGCUGCAGCCGGAGUGGCAAAAAUUCGCCUUGUAAAUAACUCAUCCCUUCUAACGCCCUCCCGCUCCGCCCCCGCUGUCGCCGCCUGUGUUCGCUUCUGUCCUCUCAAAUCCUUGCUGGCCUUGUCCCUGGAGGCGGUUUCAUCACUGGGGCAGUGGGAAAAUCGGGUCAGCCCUACGUCGCU
ensembl:lncRNA